rnacentral:rRNA from 1 species
CGUACACUCCUGCGGGAGGCAGCAGUGGGGAAUAUUGGACAAUGGGCGCAAGCCUGAUCCAGCCAUGCCGCGUGAGUGAUGAAGGCCCUAGGGUUGUAAAGCUCUUUCACCGGUGAAGAUAAUGACGGUAACCGGAGAAGAAGCCCCGGCUAACUUCGUGCCAGCAGCCGCGGUAAUACGAAGGGGGCUAGCGUUGUUCGGAUUUACUGGGCGUAAAGCGCACGUAGGCGGACUAUUAAGUCAGGGGUGAAAUCCCGGGGCUCAACCCCGGAACUGCCUUUGAUACUGGUAGUCUUGAGUUCGAGAGAGGUGAGUGGAAUUCCGAGUGUAGAGGUGAAAUUCGUAGAUAUUCGGAGGAACACCAGUGGCGAAGGCGGCUCACUGGCUCGAUACUGACGCUGAGGUGCGAAAGCGUGGGGAGCAAACAGGAUUAGAUACCCAGUAGUCCCAUGA